UCUUCAUUUAACGUGCUCUCUUACCGGUCUCAGAGAUGCGAGAGAGUGUGAGAAAUGAAGAGA
rnacentral:pre_miRNA from 1 species